rnacentral:rRNA from 4 species
GAUGAACGCUAGCGGCAGGCUUAACACAUGCAAGUCGAGGGGUAACGUGAGUGCUUGCACUUGACGACGACCGGCGCACGGGUGCGUAACGCGUAUAGAACCUACCUUAUAGUAAGGGAUAGCCCAGAGAAAUUUGGAUUAAUACCUUAUAGUAUGAUAAGAUGGCAUCAUUUAAUCAUUAAAGAUUUAUUGCUAUAAGAUGGCUAUGCGUUCUAUUAGCUAGUUGGUAUGGUAACGGCAUACCAAGGCAACGAUAGAUAGGGGUCCUGAGAGGGAGAUCCCCCACACUGGUACUGAGACACGGACCAGACUCCUACGGGAGGCAGCAGUGAGGAAUAUUGGACAAUGGAGGCAACUCUGAUCCAGCCAUGCCGCGUGUAGGAAGACUGCCCUAUGGGUUGUAAACUACUUUUAUA